ensembl:scaRNA
ACUGGAGGAUCAAGAAGGCGGAGUCUGAUGAAGCAAGACUUUGCUGAUACACUCCUCCUAGAGAACCGGGUCGGAGAGAGCAGCCCAAAUUGGAGAGCCAUGGGGCUGACUGUACUACCCAACAUUC